rnacentral:rRNA from 1 species
UACAGAGGGUGCGAGCGUUAAUCGGAAUUACUGGGCGUAAAGCGUGCGUAGACGGUUAUUUAAGUCGGGUGUGAAAGCCCCGGGCUCAACCUGGGAAUUGCAUUCGAGACUGAAUAGCUAGGGUGCGGUAGAGGGAAGCGGAAUUUCCGGUGUAGCGGUGAAAUGCGUAGAUAUCGGAAGGAACAUCAGUGGCGAAAGCGGCUUCCUGGACCAGUACCGACGUUCAGGCACGAAAGCGUGGGGAGCAAACAGG